UGGGGAAUAUUGGACAAUGGGCGCAAGCCUGAUCCAGCAACGCCGCGUGGAGGAUGAAGGUCUUCGGAUCGUAAACUCCUGUCAGAUGGGACGAAGGCUGUGGGGUAAAUAAUCUCGCAGUUUGACGGUACCAUCAGAGGAAGCCCCGGCUAACUCCGUGCCAGCAGCCGCGGUAAUACGGAGGGGGCGAGCGUUAUUCGGAAUUAUUGGGCGUAAAGGGCGCGUAGGCGGCUUGACAAGUCAAAGGUGAAAUCCCUCGGCUCAACUGAGGAACUGCCUUUGAAACUGUCUGGCUUGAGGCCGGUAGAGGGUAGUGGAAUUCCCAGUGUAGCGGUGAAAUGCGUAGAUACUGGGAGGAACACCGGUGGCGAAGGCGGCUACCUGGACCGGAUCUGACGCUGAGGCGCGAAAGCGUGGGUAGCAAACAG
rnacentral:rRNA from 1 species